rnacentral:rRNA from 1 species
AUACGGAGGGGACAAGCGUUAUUCGGAAUCACUGGGCGUAAAGGACGCGUAGGCGGGUUAUUAAGUCGGGUGUGAAAUCCUACAGCUCAACUGUAGUACUGCAUUCGAAACUGAUAACCUAGAGUAUGGAAGGGGCAGGUGGAAUUAGUGGUGUAGGGGUAAAAUCCGUAGAUAUCACUAGGAAUACCGAAAGCGAAGGCGACCUGCUGGGACAUUACUGACGCUGAGGCGUGAAAGCGUGGGGAGCAAACAGGAUUAGAAACCCGAGUAGUCC